UUCCUACUUCCUCCGUUCCAAAUUACUCGUCGCUAAAAUGGAUGUAUCUAGAACUAAAAUACAUCUAGAUACAUCCAUACGUGCGACAAGUAAUUUGGAACGGAGGGAGUACAUU
rnacentral:pre_miRNA from 1 species